CCUACGGGUGGCAGCAGUGAGGAAUAUUGGUCAAUGGACGAGAGUCUGAACCAGCCAAGUAGCGUGAAGGAUGACUGCCCUAUGGGUUGUAAACUUCUUUUAUAUGGGAAUAAAAUGUUCCACGUGUGGGAUUUUGUAUGUACCAUAUGACUAAGGAUCGGCUAACUCCGUGCCAGCAGCCGCGGUAAUACGGAGGAUCCGAGCGUUAUCCGGAUUUAUUGGGUUUAAAGGGAGCGUAGGUGGAUUGUUAAGUCAGUUGUGAAAGUUUGCGGCUCAACCGUAAAAUUGCAGUUGAAACUGGCAGUCUUGAGUACAGUAGAGGUGGGUGGAAUUCGUGGUGUAGCGGUGAAAUGCUUAGAUAUCACGAAGAACUCCGAUUGCGAAGGCAGUUCACUGGACUGCAACUGACACUGAGGCUCGAAAGUGUGGGUAUCAAACAGGAUUAGAUACCCGAGUAGUC
rnacentral:rRNA from 1 species